UGUCGGGGGCAGAAGGGAGUCUCGCGCGGCCUCGCGGGUGUCCGGCAGCCGGGAGAGACGAAGCCGUGUACAAACGCGAAACCUAGAAAACCACUGGAGGCUCUUGAAAUACACAGGACAUGAAAUUCCAGUGACAGGUCUUGCAUCUUUUCUUGCUGCACAUACUUAGUGUGUAAGAGAGAUAAAUUCUAGACUUGGCUGCUUUGCAAAGAGGAGAAGAGACCUGGAAAAAGAAUAAGACAGCAAUAGGGAGAUUUUUUUUUUGAAGAGGAAUGAAGGAUACUACUACGAGUUUUUUGAACUCCCAGGUCACUAAGUGCUAUCUAACAGGAAGAUGCAAAUCAGUGUCCUUUUUCAGAUUUGACUAUCCAAAUACCUUUCUCUCACAGCACACAGCCCUGAAAAGUGUGUCAGCAACAUGGUGGACUGUGUAGCAAUUUUUCCCAUAGAAAUUACUGUAAUAGCCAGAGAUGCAUACAAUGACUUCAAACACACAAAUACAGAAGAACAAUAUAUACAUACCGUAUGGAGAAAAGUGAGGCAAAUGCAGGAUCAUCAGAAUUGCUGACUGACAACUCAACAUCCAAAAAUGACAGAAGUAGUACAGGACAUGCUGGCUUUGGACCCAGCUUUUCUCUGACUGGAGAAGUUGAUUUCUCUUUAAAAUAAAAAUCAAAGGUUGAACGCCUA